rnacentral:piRNA from 1 species
ACUCGACUGCAUAAUUUGUGGUAGUGGGGGACUGCG